rnacentral:ncRNA from 1 species
UUAAACGGCUAGGGGUGCCUUAGUGGGCUGAGAACAUACCCUUUGAACCUGAACCGGAUGGUACCGGCGUAGGAAAGCACAUACUAACUGGU